UUGAGGCGUCGCCAAGUGGUAAGGCUGCGGGUUUUGGUCCCGCCAUUCGUAGGUUCGAAUCCUUCCGCCUCAGA
rnacentral:tRNA from 1 species